AAAAUGGGGGAAAGUGAGGAAAAUUGGAGGGAAUGGGGAUAAAUGGGGGGAAAUGGGAAAAAUUGAGGAAGAAAGGGGAAAAACCAGAGGAAAAACAGGGAAAAAGUGGGGAAAGAGGGAAAAAUGAGGGGAAAAUUGAGGAAAAAAGGAGAAAAAACAGUAAAAAACAGAGAAAAAAAGGGCAGGAAAAGGGCUUUUCUGCCAUUUGGGGUGCCCCAUUUUCGGGGUGCCCAUUUUUGGUACCCCUGUUUCCAAGGUGCCCAUUUUCAAGGUGCACUAUUUUUGGGGUGCCCAUUUUUUGGGUCCCCCCCAUUUUUGGGGUUCCCCAUUUUUUGUGUUCCCCUUUUUUGGGGUUCCCCAUUUUCGGGGUGCUCGUUUUUUGGGGUCCCCCCGUUUUUGGGGUGCCCCAUUUUUGGGGUGUCCCAUUUUUGGGGUUCCCAUUUUCAGGCUCCCCCAUUUUUAGGGCUCCCAUGGAUUCCCCAUUUUCUGGGUUCUCUAUUUUUGGGGUCCCCAUUUUCUGAGUUCCCCCGUUUUUGGGGUGCCCCCAUUUUUUGGGUUCCCCGUUUUUGGGGUGCCCCCGUUUUCAGGGUUCCCCAUUUUUGGGGUCCCCAUGUUUUGGGGUUCCCCAUUUUUGGGGUGCCUCCAUUUUUUGGGUUCCCCAUUUUUGAGAUCCCCCCAUUUUCAGGGUUCCCCGUUUUUGGGGUCCCCAUUUUUUGGGUUCCCCGUUUUUGGGGUGCCCCGUUUUCAGGGUUCCCCAUUUUUGGAGUUUCCCAUUUUCAGCGUUCCCCGUUUUUUUGUUCCCCAUUUUUGGGGUGCCCCCGUUUUCAGGGUUCCCCAUUUUUUGGGGUCCCAUGUUUUUGGGGUUCCCCAUUUUUUGGGUUCCCCAUUUUUGGGGUGCCCAUGUUUUCGGGGUUCCCCAUUUUCGGGGUUCCCGUUUCGGGGUGCCCCUCACCCUGAGCACGGCCAGCGCCUCCUGGUGCCGCUGGUGCCGCAGCUCCAGCUCCCCGAACUCGCACCACACGGCGGCGAGGUCCUCGACCCGACGGAACCGCACACGGGUGGCGCGGGACAGG
rnacentral:lncRNA from 1 species